GAACACAAGAGAUUGAAUCAAAGAGCAAAAUACUCAAUAUAUUAAAUAAAAUCAAACUAAAUCCAUAACUGAAUUGGAAGUAUUACAUCCCUAAUCCUAGAAUAAAGAAAAUUACUCACACAUAGUGAGUUUUAUAACUAAAUUUGAAAUAAGAAAAAGAGAAAACAUCAGAAGAAUUAAAAUAAAGAAACCCUAAGUGAGCAUUUGCAGUUUUGGACUUGUGGAACUUUAGCUGAAAAUCUCUUUCAGAAUUUUCCCAAACGAUCUCUUCUUAUGCCUUUGCAAAGGCAGAAAGUAAUGCUUGAAUUAAAAGAAAAAUCCCCCCUUUUCAAAACUCUUGACUUGCUGUACUUGUAUCUGGUGUAAAAAACCAUUGUUCUAGAGUCCCAAAGUCCUUAUAAGUCUUCUUGGAGUCAAUUAGAAAGAAGGGGAGUCGAGCUUAAAGUUCUGUUUGUUAAAAGUACACGGGGCGUGCUGUUGCUUUAGGUUACACGGGUUUCACCUGUGCUAUCUUCUACCCCCAGUCUCCUUUGGCUUUUCCUGUGUUCAACAGGCUACAUAGGUCGUGCUGUUUAAUUCCUUCUGAGAUCGCCUUCACACGGGUCGUGUAAUUAGUUACAAGCCUCGUGUAGUCCCUUUUGUUCCCCAAACUUUAUUUUCAGACUUCU
rnacentral:misc_RNA from 1 species